rnacentral:lncRNA from 1 species
GAUUUAUAUCCUGAAUAGUUUAAUAAGAGUGCUAACAUAUUAUUUUUAUCUUAUUUUAGAAGUGAGUGGAUUAUGCUAUCAUAAUACAUGAAGUCUUGCUUGAGAAUGCUUUGGACACUUGGCUAUGGAAGGUAGAAUAGAAAUUGCAACAACAAAAUCUUAAUUCUAAUUAGACCAUAACAAAGCUAAAUAAACUUUAAUUAAAUUCAAAAAAAUAAUAAAAAAUCUUAAAGAAAUAUUAGAAUGAUCACAAAUAUAUCUCAUAUAUAUCUCAAAUCAAUCUUAAUUUAAUUCUAGUUAAAAUCCUAUUAGACUUCAUUCAAACUUUAGGCCAAAAACAAACUAAAUCUUAAAUCCUAAAUCAAAUCUUAAUCAAAUUCUAAAUCAAAUCCUAAUCAAAUCCUAAAUCUUAAAUAAAAUCCUAAUCAAAUCUUUAAUCCUAAAUCAAACCCUAAUCAAACCCUAAACUAAAUUCUAAAUCAAAUCCUAAUAAUUCCUAUAACAAAUUUAAACCUUGAUUACUAAUGAAUGAACUAUUUAUCUUA